rnacentral:rRNA from 1 species
AGAGGCCUACGGGACGCAGCAGUGAGGAAUAUUGGUCAAUGGCCGCAGGGCUGAACCAGCCAAGUCGCGUGAGGGAUGACGGUCCUAUGGAUUGUAAACCUCUUUUGUCGGGGAGCAAAGGGCGCCACGUGUGGCGUUUUGCGAGUACCUGAAGAAAAAGCAUCGGCUAACUCCGUGCCAGCAGCCGCGGUAAUACGGAGGAUGCGAGCGUUAUCCGGAUUUAUUGGGUUUAAAGGGUGCGCAGGCGGAAUGUCAAGUCAGCGGUAAACUUUCGG